CCUCUUCUGCGUUUCUCCUUUCUCUUUUUCCCUACCUCUUUCGUUUUCCUUUUCUUUUUACCUCUACUGUUUUUCCCUAACCCUCAUCUUCUCCUUUUCAUCUCCCAAGCCAGCCUUGUUCUUUGUGCGCCAUGGCCAAGCCUCUCUUUCUUCCAAUAACGCCCAUUCUUCUCCUUGCUUGUCUCUGUCGAUCUCAUGGACUUAGAUUUGUGUAUAUGUACCAGCAAUACAUGAGAAGAAGACGAAGAAAACGGCACCAUUGUGGCUUUGCUGGCGGCAUUCAAGCACUUCGGGCACAUGUUGCUGAACUACUUAUAUUGCCAAAGAAUUUGAAACGGAAGGAUUUCGAAAGAUUUAACCAAUUGCAUGUGUUGGAUGGGAAGGGUCAGCACAUGAGACAAGAAUAUUUUUAAAUUGUCUCAAUAAUGAGAGCGACAACUUUCCAAAAUCUCCACUUGGUUUGUAUUGUUGAAUUUUAAUUAAUGUAUUAGAAGUAUGUGUUAUGAAGUGAAAAUGUUAAUGUAAUAAAUAUUCUCAUUUGCAUGAAAAUAUUAUCCACCCACUCUACCUUCGUAGUAAAAAUAGAUACUGAUGUAUUGGAUGAGCAUCCCCCUCAUCAGCCCUCACCCCCACAAGUUAGGCCGUAACGUACUAGAAGAGCACCCACUUGUGGGACAGGUGGACACAAAAUAGGACACAAAGACAGUUCUAUGCACGAUGAUGAGCUUGAGGAUGAUGUCCGGAUAAUGUCCCGCAGCCUUUUCCACCGCCCAAACAUUACACGAGGUUUAAUAAAUGCAAAAUUGGUUAGUCUACAAUCUAAGGUACUGCAAACACAUACAGAUGAAGUUUGGUUUUUGGAAUUUUCGCAUAAUUGGAAAUGUCUCGUACAUCAUCAAAAGAUCAAUCAGCAAUUAUAUGGGAGAGGAACUAUUCUGGAUUCAGGAGGUAGUCAGGCAAGUUUCUUGAUGCAAGCCUUUAUCUUAACCAAGCGUUCAUUCCUCAACAUGUCAAGGGGACUUUGGAUAUUACUGGCUUAGGCUUGCAAUUUACAUUGUAGUCACUAUCUGCAUUGGGACCAUCUAUUUGAAUGUCGGGACAAGCUACACUUCAAUUCUGUUGUUGGCUCUAAAAAAUAGAGACACAAAUGAAGUUGGGGUUAAAUGCAUCAAGAAAGAAGCUGAGGGUUCUUGGAGCAGUCACAGUUAAUCAGUCGCCACUUAUUCCCUUCAUUCCUUAGGCCUACAAGCAUGACCCAACUCCUCCUCCAAGGACCAGAUCUCCAAUCCUUAAAAAUUGACCACAUGGCUCAAGAUGAAAGCUUCUGCAACAAGCAUGACCCAACUCCUCCAAGGACCAGAUAAACAUAACUUUUGGCCAUGGCCAUUGAAGUAAAAUUCAAUUCUCAAACAAAGUAAUCCACAAUUUACUUGUUCAUCUAUGAGUUGGGUGUUUGAAUUCAUAUUUUGGCACAGUAGAUUGGUGUAUAGAUUUAAACAUAUCUAGCGCUGCUCAGUUGGGCUACAAAUCAGUAUGGGAAAUUGAUUAAACUGUGGAAAUUACAUACUUUCUUGCCCAUCAGUCAGUGAAAUGUGAUAUAUAUGCUAGGUUGAAUCAUACUCUCUUUUGUUUAAUUAUUAAUUCUUAGUGGUUCA